rnacentral:rRNA from 1 species
GAUGAACGCUAGCGACAGGCCUAACACAUGCAAGUCGAGGGGCAGCAUAAUGGUAGCAAUACUAUGGUGGCGACCGGCGCACGGGUGAGUAACACGUAUGCAACCUACCUACUACACUGGGAUAACCCGUUGAAAGACGGCCUAAUACCGGAUAAUACAGGGGCCCUGCAUAGGGAUAUUUGUUAAAGAUUUAUUGGUAGUAGAUGGGCAUGCGUAUGAUUAGCUAGUUGGUGAGGUAACGGCUCACCAAGGCGACGAUCAUUAGGGGUUCUGAGAGGAAGGUCCCCCACACUGGUACUGAGACACGGACCAGACUCCUACGGGAGGCAGCAGUGAGGAAUAUUGGUCAAUGGUCGCGAGACUGAACCAGCCAAGUCGCGUGAAGGAAGACGGUCCUACGGAUUGUAAACUUCUUUUAUACAGGAAUAAAGUGAGGUACGUGUACCUUUUGUAUGUACUGUACGAAUAAGCAUCGGCUAACUCCGUGCCAGCAGCCGCGGUAAAACG